ACUUUAUAUGAUCCGAUUCAAUC
rnacentral:siRNA from 1 species